rnacentral:lncRNA from 1 species
CAAUUUCAAUUCACACUUUCAAUUUCAAUUCACACUUCUAUUUCCAUUCACUCAAUUCUAUUCAUUACCAUUUGUUUUUACUUUGCAAUUGCAGAAUCGACCCUGUUCUCAGAUUUACCAAUACAUGUGUUGCAUCAUCAAACCCUAUUUCUUCUUUUUACUUUCAGGGACAAAGCGAUUAUCAUUGUUUAAGCUGUAAUUUAAUUAUGGGCAGUAGAAAGAAGAAACUGUCCCUUGAGGACCAUAGCAAGAAACACAAAAUAAUGAAUUCUAUCUGGAGACCAGUUGCCACUAGUGCCAGUUCUUGUGAAGAGAGCUUGAUAAAGAAUGAAACAAAUGAGUCAAAAGAUGGAAGUGAAGUUCGGGAAAUGGGUUGUAGCUCAUCUAGCAAUAUUUCAAAUGUAAUGAAGGUAGCUACUGAAGCCAUGGAUGAAAAUACGGAAUCACCUACCAGUUCCAGAUCAUUGCCGGAUAAUGUCAAAAACAAAGUUGUAGAAGGAGGUUCAUCUCCUUCCACUAGAAAGCAUUCGAUUUCUGUUGAGGCAAGAUUAUAAUUUUCAUUUCCUUUUUUCAAUUCUUGAGUUGAUAGUAUUUUUUUAUUAUGAAGCUGGCAACCAAUAUUUGUUCACUUUGUCUUUUUACAUACUAGUGAUGCCAUAUAUCUUUUAUUUGGCCCUUUUCCAUUAUGUUUGAGUUGCUGAAUUGUUUUGGUUGUUCAAUAUAUGUUCCAGGUUACUGUAGCACUAUAGUUAAUUGGUUUGUUAUCAGGUGGCAAAACAUCAUUAAAAAAAGAUUCGAGAACUUUAUAAGCGAGGGCUUAAAUGAAGGCUGUCCUGCUGACUAGUUUUUUACUUGUUUUUUUCUUCUAUGACUCUGAUGUUAGUUUUUAUUGUCUAUUAUCUGAUGUUUUUCUUUUCCUUUUUUUGAAAAUUUACAGCAUAAGGAAUGAUAUCAUAUGUUACUUAUUUUUUGCUUGUACUAUGUAUCUGCCUCCUCAAUUUUUAUAUCUUGUUCUUCAUGCUUUUUUAGAUAUACUCCCAUUGGCUUCUCUUUUCUGAUUAUGCACUGAAAAAUCAAAGCUUUAGCCUGUUCAUCUCUGUUUUCAUUGUGUUUGUUGUGCAGGUUGGUGCUUCUCUAUUUCGAUUUAUCAAAGGAAAAGGGUAAAAACUAGUUUCAUUUUUUAUGGUUGUAAAAGGACUAGAGAAAAGUGUAGGCUUAGACAAGAUGGGCUGAAAAUGAAAAUAGUGAUGAAUAUUAGGAAUUUUGGGUAUUUUCAACUUGAGACUCGUGUAGCCAAUACCACAUGGGAUACAACUAUGCAAAUCUUGUUAUUGUUGUUAUCAGAGGCAAAUGGUAUAACAUUGUGGGGAGUCAUAAGGUGGUCAAGUGGUAAAAGGUGGAGGACUUAGGACUGGAGUAACAAGGAGGUCUGGGG